GAAAGGAAGCAGAGGGAGCUUGCUGUAGGGGCUCCCCAGUCAGUGCUGGAGGAUGUGGUGGGUGAAUUAGAGCCUCCCUCCCACCAUGAAGAGGCUCCAAUACACUCACCUAACCCUCCAGCAAGGAGCUGAAAAACCCCAGACUGAACUCCUUCUACUUCCUUUCCCCCUCCCAUUCUGAAAACAGCCACAGGCUGGCUGGCAGAGCAGAUGCAAGUUACAGAAAACAUUAUGUUUUAAAAUGUCUUUGUCUGAACCUUCAUGCUAUGCACUGGGGUUUGAUCACAGCUAUAGAUCACUUUCUGUGGCCAGAUUGUGCAAAGUUUGUCACUUCUGUCUGAACCCUGAGUCCUAUUUCUCUAUCACUGCAGGAAUCAAAUAGCAGGAGAGACUUUCUUUACUCACAGUUCCAAGCUGCAGUAAGCACUUAGCCAAAAAAAUUCAGGGGCUUAUACGUAGCAUACCUAUUUCCCUGGCUACCUGUGGUUCUUUCUUGUUGCCAUCUCUGUUUCUGCCUAGCUUUUUCUGCUUCUUUUUGCUGUUUCUUACAUAUACCUUAUCCAACCCUGCAAUUGAUUUCAGUCCCCCAUGAAACCCUUCCACUUCAUGAUUCAUGAAUGUGGUCUGUAUUUUAGCCACAGGCUCCUAGUCUUACAGCUAUCCACUCCAUGAAGGGGUUUGUCUACUUUUCCAUUUUUGCCUCAACAAGGAGUGGCUAUUAUUUUCUGUAUUUUGAAAGUCUCAGUUUCAUUCUGGGGCAAAAUAAAGCACAUUUUCAAAUGUCAAAACGUUUUGCAAAGCAGAAUCACUGUUCUUUGCUCAGCCUCCUGUUCCUGCUGCUGCAAUGCCAGCUUCAGCUUGUGGCAGUUCUCCUCUCCAAGCCUGAGCUGCAGUAUAUAGUUAUAGCUGCUGUGGCUAUAAACUGCUUCUGCAGCUGCUGUGCUGCCCUAAUGAAGAUGUGGCAUUCAUAUCCAGACUUGCUCUUCUGCUCCAGGAUCCACUCUGCUGAUUCCUGCACCUGCAGAAAGCAGCUUAUGGGACUGGGAGCUGAACGCUGAAAAAGGGCCGGCUUAACCAAUUGUAUCAAGAUCUUUUGUCAGAAGGAUGGGAAGUAUUACAGCUCCUCUGGUCAGCAGGCAGCGUCCCUAAUUUGUCUGGUAUUUCCCUGAAGUUGAGUUUGGGGUAUAGAGAGACAAUUUACUACAGGGCCAAAGAAGGCAGGCAUACAUUGUGCAUCAGAUGCUUACUGUGCCCUUGUGCCCAUUCUUACCCUACUGGGAGUGAAAAGUAAAUAUGGUAAUUUGCCCUCUUCCUGAUUGCUAAACCACUAGAGUUAGCUUUCACUUACCUGUGGUGGCCAGAACCAGAGGGAUUAAUAAGCAAUAAAUAUGUGCUUCUUGGAGGCA
rnacentral:lncRNA from 1 species